GAUGAACGCUAGCGGCAGGCUUAAUACAUGCAAGUCGUGGGGCAGCGCAGGUAGCAAUACUGGGCGGCGACCGGCAAACGGGUGCGGAACACGUACACAACCUUCCGAGAAGUGGGGAAUAGCCCAGAGAAAUUUGGAUUAAUACCCCGUAACAUAACGAUGUGGCAUCACAUUGUUAUUAUAGCUUCGGCGCUUCUUGAUGGGUGUGCGGCUGAUUAGAUAGUUGGCGGGUAACGGCCCACCAAGUCUACGAUCAGUAGCUGAUGUGAGAGCAUGAUCAGCCACACGGGCACUGAGACACGGGCCCGACUCCUACGGGAGGCAGCAGUAAGGAAUAUUGGUCAAUGGACGCAAGUCUGAACCAGCCAUGCCGCGUGAAGGAUUAAGGUCCUCUGGAUUGUAAACUUCUUUUAUCUGGGACGAAAAAAGGCGAUUCUUCGUCACUUGACGGUACCAGAUGAAUAAGCACCGGCUAACUCCGUGCCAGCAGCCG
rnacentral:rRNA from 1 species